CCCAGGCUGGAGUGCAGUGGCUCAGUCUUGGCUCACUGCAACCUCCACCUCCCAGGUUCAAGAGAUUCUUCUGCCACAGCCUCCCGAGUAGCUGGGACUACAGGCGUGCACCACUACGCUUGGCUCAUUUUUUUUUUUGCUUUUAGUAGAGAUGGGGUUUCACCAUGUUGACCAGGCUGGUCUCAAACUCCUGACUUCAAGUGAUCCACCUGCCUCGGCCUCCCAAAGUGCUGGGAUUACAGGUGGAAGCCACCGCGCCCAAAUGAGAAAUUUGACGUUUAUGACAGGUAUUUCCUGAGACCUUUGUAGAACCCAGUUAAAAAAAAAUCUUUAAUGUAUUAUAUAAUUUUAAUAUUUUUUCCCUCUCCCAAGUAAACCAAAAUGCAUGCUUGAUUGCGAGUAGACAAUGAAAAGGACUAUUUUAGUUAUCUGUUGCUGAGAAACGAAUUAUUAUUCCAACAUUUAACAGCUUAAGACAACAAACAUGUGUGCCUCACACCGUUUCUGAGAAUCCGGAAUCCAAGAAUAGUCUUGCAGAGCGAGUCUUUCGUGAGGUUGCAGUCAAGCUGUCAACCUGGUCUGUAAUCUCCGAAGAUGUGCCAGAGCUGGAGCGUCUUCUCCGGGGGCACUCACGUGGCUGUGGGAAGGAGGCUUCAGUCCCUUGCCACAGGGACUGUUCCACAGGGCCACUCAUGACACGGCUCACCCCAAAGUGAGGAGUGCAGGAGAGAGAGCACCAUGGCUGAAGCCAAAGCCCUUCUUAAUUGAACAUCAGAAGCACACCAAUUCUGCCUGAUGCCAUUGGUCACCCAGACCGACCGUGGCACGGUGUAGAAGGGGACCACACAGGGUGUGAGUGCCAGGAGGUGGAACUCUUGGGGCUGUUUUGGAGACUGACUCCCAUCCACAACAAAUCCACAUUGCAACCGAAUGCCACGAGGUCAGCUGGGCUCAUUCGCAUCACAUACAAUUCACACUCCUGGCGUCAUGACCUGUCAUGGCUUUUCAGGUUCUGGCUGAAUUCUUGGCAAGUUCCAGUAAUUCGAUCAGUGGAUGGCUACAAAAAAGAGAAAGUCUUCAAAGAGCAGACGGCAUUUGCACUUGAAAAGCUCCACUGUGUUGAGAUGGAUGGAAUGUGUCCCAUCAAAUGUACAGACUUAGAGAUGACAUCAAGAUGCGGUUACGGUAACUACAGAAGGCUCCUGUUAGAAGGCAGAAUCUAAACAGUUUGGCUUAGAAAGUGAGCCACUGGGCUGAGCUAAGAGUUUGGAUGUGGUUCUGCAGGUGGUGAAUGUGGCAGAGAUGGCUCCACCCAAAUCCAUACUAUACUUCCCCAGUGUGAGUUCCCACUGAGAAGGGGCAUCUGUGUCCAGCCAGGACUACAUUUCCCAGAACCCCUUCUCUUCUGGGCAGGGCCAUGUGACCAGUUCUGGAUGAAGGAAUGUGAGCCGAAAUGAUGUGAUUCAUGUCCACACUAAGGCAAUUGAGAGACAGUUGUACUCUCUCUUCUAGGGCAAUUGAGAGGCAGUUGUGCCCUCUCCUGCCAGGAUGCAGAGGACCCAGGAGAUGGAAGAGCCUCAAAAGGAAAAGGGCCCAUGUCCCUAAACUUUAAGAGGGGAAACAUCUCCUAAAAGCCAGGAAUACCAGAUGAAUGAAAAGUGCACAUGUAUUAGGUAAAUCCACUGAGAGUUGUUGUGGCUGUUGUUGUUUUUUUUGUUAUAGCAGCUACCAGUCUCCUAACACACAGUAGGAAACCUUUGUGGUCUUUCAACAGGGAUUGCAAAAUAAAAAUAGUCUCAGGAAGACGAAUAAGCCAUGGACAGGCAGGAUGGUGUGAUACGGGGAGGGAAACACUGAAGUCUAAGAGAUGAGUUAGGAAGCUGUCACGAGGUUGUGACGUGGUAAAACCUGAAGAAGCCUAGCAUCCCCGUCCCUGCCUGUUUCACAGCAGAAUUUAUAGAAAAGACAAAAGUAAUGAUAACCUUAUUUUCCUUUGCUUAUUACACGCCAGACAUUAACUAUGUACUUUAU
ensembl:lncRNA